AUGGCGACCACCAAGAAGAGGGAGAUGGUGUUCUUCGACGUGGAGGCUACGCAGUCCCUGUCGCUGCCCGGCGAGUGCAGCCUGCUGGAGUUCGCCGCCAUCCUCGUCUGCCCGCGCCGCCUCGUCGAGGUCUCCAGCUACUCCACCCUCAUCCGCCCGGACGACGCCAGCGCCGACGGUGGCGUCCUCUCCGCCUCCUCCGGUGCACCCUCGUUCGAGGACGUCUUCCCGGACAUCUUCGAGCUGCUGGACGGCCGCGUGUGGGCGGGCCACGGCAUCCGGCGCGCCGGCUACCCGCGCAUGCGCGAGGCCUUCGCCGCCUUCGGCCUUGGCGCGCCGGAGCCCGUGGGCGUCGUCGACUCGCUCGACGUGCUCCUCGCGCAGGGCGCGCAGGGGUGCUUCGGGCCGGCUGCCGCCGGGGACGACGGCCAGGUGGAGGACGAGGAGGCGGCAGCGGCGGCCCUGGCGGAGCACUUCGGGAUCGGCGCGCGGCGGGCGCGGGGGCUCCGGUGCCUGGACGGCGCGCGCGUGAGUCUUGAGGUACUGGGACACCACGAAGGAAUAGAAUUUUUUCCACGGCGGCGGCGGCCCCCCGCGCCCGCGCGGGGACAGCGGCGGCGACAGCGAGGGCCAAGCGCGAGGAGGAUGCGGGGCGGCAAGCUCGGCGGGUCCGGCGCAACUGGACGUCGUCGGCGAGGCGUUCUGUGCGGGCGGGAGUUGGUGGGGGAGAGAAAGAGAAAAGAGAUCACGUGGGUGGGCCCGAAGGAAAAGCGAUGA
rnacentral:rRNA from 1 species